rnacentral:rRNA from 1 species
GUCUAUGAACAUAUCCAAUCUUUUUUUUAUUUCAGAUGGUAAUUAGGAUGAAGGCUAGUUAGUACUCAUCUGGGAGAUCAUUUGGGAAUGCCAGGUGUCAUAGGGA